CCCAGACUCCUACGGGAGGCAGCAGUGGGGAAUAUUGCACAAUGGGGGAAACCCUGAUGCAGCGACGCCGCGUGGGCGAAGAAGUAUUUCGGUAUGUAAAGCCCUAUCAGCAGGGAAGAAGAAAUGACGGUACCUGAGUAAGAAGCACCGGCUAACUACGUGCCAGCAGCCGCGGUAAUACGUAGGGGGCAAGCGUUAUCCGGAUUUACUGGGUGUAAAGGGGGCGCAGACGGCGAUGCAAGCCAGGAGUGAAAGCCCGGGGCCCAACCCCGGGACUGCUCUUGGAACUGCGUGGCUGGAGUGCAGGAGGGGCAGGCGGAAUUCCUGGUGUAGCGGUGAAAUGCGUAGAUAUCAGGAGGAACACCGGUGGCGAAGGCGGCCUGCUGGACUGCAACUGACGUUGAGGCCCGAAAGCGUGGGGAGCAAACAGGAUUAGAUACCCUUGUA
rnacentral:rRNA from 1 species